UGGCUCAGUUGGUAGAGCAUGGCGCUUGCCAUGCCAGAGUUGUGGGUUCCAUUCUCAC
rfam:Salmo salar isolate Sally breed double haploid chromosome ssa16, whole genome shotgun sequence.